UCUUAAUGAAUUUUGCUUGAUCAGAGGAUUCCAAGGUAAUCCCAUAAAAGCUGAACUGAAACCAAAUUCAUGCACUGGCACAAGAAAUUGCAAAAGGAGUUGACACCGAAUAGGCAUGGUCGCUAGGGUGCACGUAUAGUGAGGCGGGCAGGUGCGUUUGGAGGCUGGAUGGAUGAUGUGCUGGAACUGGUUCUGGUGCACUUUGUACUACUGCUGGAGUGAAAGCUAGAGAUAAAUUUGUUUUCCAUGUUAGCUCCAAGCAAUGGAAUUCAACGUCAUGAGGCACAAGUACCAACGAUAGAGGAAGUUGCUGUAUGUACCACAAAGCAAGGAAAUUACUACAGAUGUUUACCUGCACAGACAUGAGGGCAGUCUUCACACAGUGGCCUCGGUAUCAAUGAUGGAUAAGAGCAGUCAAAGCAGGACUGAUCAUGAGAAGUAUGAAAACAGCUCCAUCAAUCUACUGGGAGCAAGACUGCAACCAACUGGAAGCACCCUUCCAGCUGCUGUUGAAGUGAAAGCCGCAUGUUUAGAAUUCAACAUAACUGCAGUUACAUGUACAUCAGAUGUACGGCCAUCCACACUGGCAGAAGCUGCUGCACAACCAAGCA